rnacentral:lncRNA from 1 species
UAGUUUCGGAGGAGAAGAUUGUUGUAAAAAUUAACGACGACGACGAAAGACGGAUGCCAAGUGAUGAAAAACCUCACUUGGCCUUUCAGGCCAGAAUAGCUAAAAAGGGUAAGUCCUUAAAACUGUAUACUCAACACAACGUCGUCAAUCUGCGGUCCCAAUGAAAAACUACUUUCAUAUUCUCGGUAGUUUUAUGAAAAUAAUGGUUCCUUAAUCCUGGCUUAUAGCUAACUAAACUUAAUCUUUAUGAUUUUCAAAAUUAAGGCAUCAAGUUAUUCUCAUUUAAAUUGACAAGAUCUAUUCGGGUUUAGGCAAAACUUUAAUAUUUUAUUGUUGUAAAUAACGCUUACGUGUCCUCUCUAGCUAAAUAUUCAAAUAAAUAUACUUGUGAAAAGUGAGGUAACUUUGGAUUGUUCCCCGGAGAGAUGAGAGUAGGGCUUUUUUUUAAUGAAAAAAUGUUACCGUUUAAAUUUGUAUACGAGUGAGACCCCCCAAAUAUGAAAGCAUGAGAGAUAACAUCAAGCAACAAUCAUUAGUUCAAUUGAAACACGCGACACCUUGACCUAAAACAAAUAGUCAAUAACAAAUAUUACACAUACAAAUGGAGUUCAAACAUCUUACAUCCAAAUAUAACCAAGGUGAUCAUCAUGUAUCAAAAGGGUAUACGUAAGGAGUUCCUGUUGCACCUUGGAGAUCCGUCGUGUUCCACAAGCAUCUGACUGUUAAUAUAUUUCAGACGUCUUAUUUUAUAGUAUUACGAACUACUCUUUACAACUAAUAUACAUCCGAAACUUAAAAGUCAUAAUUUGCAGACAUGUGACUUUUUUAAGGAAAGAGGAUCACAUAUCAAAUAGACUGCGCCGUGAUUAUUAUAUUUCAUGUGUAUUGUUGGUAUUUUACUAUAAUAUUAAUUUUUGUAUGGAUUAGUUUUUUAAGCUAUAAUGGGCAGCUAUAUAAUAAACAUUUGGAAUCACAUGAACUUGGAUAUGAGCGGAACCGAAUGCAUCGAAAGGUAACAGUUCUCGUUUAAUGCAUGCACUACUGGUGGAGUGACCAAGACAACAAUUUUUCAACUUUAAUUGACUACCCUACCUGCAGGCUUAAUUAUGACUUUUUGGAAAGAGAAAUGUUUAUACUUUAAUUUUUGCCUGGUUGUAGAACUGAAAUAUGGUGCAAUUUCUUUUUUAAUAAGGUCAAAGGUUAGUGAAUGAGUUUUUCACUAUUGUCAAUUUAUUUCACAAGAGGUUAAAAAAAAGCAUCCAAAUAAUAUCUGAAUUGUUACUAAACAAGAAAUUCAUAUGGGAAUAAACUGUGAUACUUCAUUUUUAACUUAAUUUGAAAAAUACGAAACUACCAAAUGCACAUUUUUAAAGGGAAUUCAGACUAGCAACAAAACAGAAGAUGAAAAAACCAAAUAUAAAUUAAUGUGUUUUUACAUCGCAUGUACUUCUUAAAAUAUAUUUCUGAAUUUUACGGCUUUUAUAAAAAGAAUCGAAGUCAAUUUGGUUUUUGCUUUGAUGUGUAUUUAUUGCCAGUCACAAAUAUUUCACAAGGCAAUUCAAUCACAUGAGUUAAAUGAUGGACUACAGUUUCAGUGUGUUUUUCGAAGCUCUAUGAACUUUUUAGGUUUUAUGUGCCUUUGCCUUACAAAAGCACACAUUGAGCCCUUGCAAUUGGAAAGAGUAGAUGUAUAAGGUAUUUUAUCAAAAAAAGGGCAUGACAACUUUCGAAAACCUGACAUCAGUCAUCGUUUGCAUCGUCGUCUUCUUCAAAUAUUGCUCGGUGAGUUAAAUAAUUUCUACAACCAUCAGACCCUUCACAUGAAAUAUUGGUAUACACUGAUUUCUGUUGGUUGCAUACACAGUUGUAAUUGCAAGCUGUUUUUCCUUGUCCGUAUACGAUCUUUGAGGAAAUCUACUGACAUAUGUCCCUCAAGGAAAACCGAGAGCCAAUCGUUUUUACCCUUUUACCAACCUGAGUCUUUGGAAAGUAUGAUCACUGGUUUACCAAUAUGGGAGUUUAUCCAAACUUUCGUUUGAAGCAUUGCAUGUCGGAUGUGCUGUAAAAACAUGUUUCCACAUGGGGAAAUUUCACAAGACUGACAUCCUUUGCGGCGGCAAACUCCACCCUUUGCUCGUUUAGAUCAUCACGACGAUACCUGAACUUUCCCUUCAGAUCAUACAAUGAGGCGAUAAAUGCACUUUCAAUGUUUACGGCGAUUCCUAAUCUCCUGUUUAAAAACUUAUCGGAUUUGGAAUUUUUGUCUGCAAUGCUCUUUAACUUUAUAUUUGUAUGGCUUUCCAACUAUUUGGAUCUGCACGUCACUGAUGAGUCUUAUGUAGAAGAAACGCGCGUCUGGCGUAUCAAAUUAUAAACUUUGAUAAAUAAUAUCAUAACUUGGAAGAUUGAAAGAAGAGCAAAUUUCCUCUUCAAGUAGAUCAAUUAUAUCAGAUUUACAACAUUUCAACAUGGUACAAUCAUCAUGGAACAGAGCUGAUGGUAUGGGACCAAUAGGAUAAGCCAAUACACUGACUACAGUCUCAUUCUCACGAACAUUUAACAGUUAACUGAUUUACACUUGAGUAUUUAGGUCUUUGUCGUAUCAUCGAAAGUAUUGAGAGGAGACCUCGACAUAGAACUGUAGAAGACAUGGGUUUCAGACUCAUCAGGGCAGCCUUCAACAAAUAUUUAACCAUCUGGUUGACACGUUCAAGAGAUUUAAGAAGAGAAUCAUAAACAUUUAUUGAGGCUUUCAUUUCUGUAGAAAUAUUUAUCAAUGGCUAAGGAUGAUCGGCAACGUUAAAUGGAUCGGUCAUAUUUGAAUAAAUAUACCCUAUCAAAUCAGAGACAUUCUUCAUAUCACGUUUCAUUGCCUUUGGCUUGUUUUCUUCGUAUUCAAUUUCUGCAUCUGUGUCUAAUUCCGAUAUUGAUCUCAUUUCAGAACUAAAAUGUGAAAGGAUGUGUCUUGUAAGCAUCCAUCGAAGUACAGCGGGUUUUCCUUGUCAUUCCUAUGAUACAUCUACAACCUUUAGAAUCUUUAGUAAAACUGUGCAACACCUUCAGCGCGUUUGAGUGUUUCAGCAAAUGAACUGUCACUUACAUUUGGAUCACUAUUAAUUAAUCGUUUUUUGCAAUAGCAUACAAUUAAUUAUCAAAUGUUUGCACAGCAUAGUGUUGACCAGCACGUUAGGACAUAUCUAAACAUUGUUUCAUAGUUGUAAAUACUAUUGCCAUGUCGAGUUUUGGCAUCUAUAACUGGAGCAUAGACUACAGACAAAAUUUCAGAUUUAGUCUUUUGUAAUAAUCGGUCCAAAAUGGAACAAUUUGAUCAUUGCUUUUUUGCAGAAAAAUGAAUCGAAUCUAAGUUUUGUCUCGAAAGAAGUCGCAGAAAUACCAAAGACACUGACAGAUAUAUCUCGGUUUUCGAUGAAACAAGACACAAUCUUCCCAUAAACAUUAGAAUAACGUUCAUAAUACGACCACCUUUUCUAAAGUCAGCAAUAUCAUUAGGUACAUAGGACAUGUCUUGGAUUCUGUCUAUUUCCAAAUUUGAUAAAUUAGUCCGAUAUCUACGUACUUCAGAAUAGGAUGCACAAAAACCAUUAGAGUUUGGAUUUUCAAUCAAAAUUUUAGAGGCAAACUCAUGGUGUCAUUGUAAUGCAAAAGCAAGAUGAAAUGGGGUUAACAGGUUUAUUUUUAAAGCAAGUAUGCAUUCUGCUAUUGCCAGGACUUAUCGCAGUUUGUCGACAGAAAGUUUAGAAACAUUACUUAAAUCUUUCAAUAAACAGCAGAAUAACAAGGAGGUCCAUAUCAUAUUCAUUGAACUAUAAUGCAAAGUUAAAAAUCCUCAUUAAGGUUAAUUUAUAAGAAAUACUGACUUGGAAUGGCUUCGAAACCUUACAGUGGGAAGUUUAAAACAUUUUAAUUCGGAAAAUCAUGAAAUUAUCAAUGUAAUCUUAAUUUACAGAUGAUGUAACCACUUCGUAAAAAUAAUAGAGUGUGCUUUCGCUAAACUGAGUUAAAAUGGACAACAUUUAGACAAAAAUGAGUAAUUUUAGUUUUACAUUAUGAAUAAACAAUUAAACUCUAUAUAAAAUGCAAAAAACGUAUGUCAAAAGACAAAAAAAGGUAAUAAAAUUCAAUUUUUUUCUUAUCUUGAAAUUACAAAAAAAAAAUACGAAUGUUUUUUUUCUUUCCAUUAUAUAAUAAAACUGCACCGGAUGAAAUGUCUACGACCGGGCAAAAAAAAUAGCUUAAGGUAUUGGCUUUGCAAAAAAAUCAUGUUUAGCCUGCAGGUAUGCCGGUCUAUUAAAGUCGUAAAAUACGCACCUUUUUCUUGAUCUGUCACUCCACUAUACCUGCCACUCGGUACAUUGUGAAAUAUGACAGUAUCGGUAAAAUUACAGGUGAGAGGAUUAUUCACGUAUGUAUAGAUCUGAAACUGUGAAAACAUAUCUUGUCCGUCAACAAUUUUGAGAUGAUUAGAGUAAACAUUCUGUAGCGUGAAAGGCGGUUGUUUUUCCUCGUAACUCAUUCUAAGCCGUUUCCAUGUAAGAAGCCCCCCUGUUAACGAAAUUGAUAAAGUGUGAGUAUUCACAAGCCUAAAGUACCAAUUGAGAUAUUUUAAACACAAUACAAGCUUAUGGUAUAUUAAUGUUCAGAAAUGGGAGGUUAACAGUUUUAAAGUAUCAUGCUUUUGAUAUAUUCUUGUGUGAUGUCGUUCCUUUUUUCAAAGUAUUAAGGCAAAGAUCAAGAGAUGAAGCACAUUUUCUGCUUUCUGAAGUAUAGUAUGAGUUCUGCUUCAUAUGAGUACAAACACAAAAGGUAAGUAGUAUUGUACAAUGAGAACCAAUUGGCAAACCCGAAUGUGAUGAAAUAAAAAUUCAGUGAACUCAACAUAUAACCAAUGUUAUUUCAACUGAUCGGGUGGAGCUUAUGUUUCAAUUUGCAUUAGGACAGUCUUUUGAAGAUGUGUAUGGUCGUGUUGUUGUCUCUUUGACACAUUUCCCGUUUCCAUUCUCAAUUUCAUGAUAUGGAUGAUUGCCGUUAUGAUUAUUAAUUCUAAUUUCUAACCACCUUUCAGUGUCACCAAGCGUAUACAAAUAAAGAACUGAGUGUACAAUAUGGGACAAAUGAAAUAGUUUAAGAUUUAUAGCAUUUAUAUUUAUAUAACAGUAUAUUAAAGUAUCGACUAUAGCAUUAUCCUGUUUGAAACUUUCCUGAUUAUAAGAUGUAUGUAAAAUGUCAAUUAUAUAAAAAUAAAUAUAUAAAAUAAAAUAUGUUAACCCUAUUUUUUCUUCCUUAAAAAUAGGAUCAAUCAUAUUUGCAACUUCUCCCCUUAUCCCCCCCCCCCCCCCCCCCCCCCCCCCCCCCCCCCCCCCCCCCCCAUUUCAUCUCCAACGAAACCCUUUCGGACUAUAAGAAAAGCAAUAUUAUAUUUCACAUCGUUAUUAAAUAAAGACAUUUGCAUUUAGCGCAAGGAAUGUUAUCAUAGUUUUUAUUUCAUAUAUACACAAAACCUAUAAUGUGACAAAUUUUACAUGUUUUUUAAACUUUGCUUUACAAGAAAAUCAACGACUGUGCCUCAUUGUUUAUUUUGCGAAUUCUUAUAUACUGUAUACAUAUUUUAUUACAGAUCAAUGACCAUAACUGUACACCUCAUUGAUUAGUUUAUCCCAAAACACCUGUCUAUAGAUGGACUGGCCUAUGGUGAGCGAACAGGUGAAACUCCACCCAGUGAAGUAAAAUAAAUCAAGUAAUAUAUACAUAUUCAGUAUUUUUAAUGAUCUCAUCUUUGGUGUAUUUGUGGUAAAAAUGAAUAUGGUUUCGUAGAAAGUAAGAUAUGGAUGACCUAAAACUAAAACAAGGUAUUUACAGACGGGUUAUAUUUCAACAGGACAAUGUACAAAAGCAAUUGGCGGAGGGAAGCUUGCAUUUCAAAUCUCGGAGGCCAAAUAUCACUUAUACCUCUUGUUGAUAAAAACUUUAUAUAGAAUGUGUUUGGAGUAUGUAAGUGAUAUGACAAGUGUGGUGUUUUCUUUAAAGUAAAUGUGAUUAGGUUUUCUUCUCUAGAGAGAUUGUGUAUGAAAUUAUUGCUCAUAUUUGUGUCACCAAAACCCCGAUUAACGAUUUUGAUACUUGCAAAAUUUAGUUUUUUAUCAUCGUGUCGUUGUCAAAGGUUUGAAAAUCAUAUGGUUAGCAAUGUCAAUAACUAUUGUAUCCAAUCUGUAAAUUAUAUCCAUAACGGAUUCCGAAUCGAUUGUUGCUUAUCAAAAUAGUGAAUUCGGUUUAAAUAUUAAAUGUUUGUAGUUAAAUAAGUAUUUAAGUUAAAAUAUAGGUGUAUGGAAAGAUGAUAAAACACCAUGCAUGUGCAAGGUGUGAAUCUGCCGGUUUUGUAUCUUCUCAAAGAAUGUGACUCCUAUUGCGUCGAACAGCAUAAUUAUUUUAUUAAAAUCCCUAGAACUUCAUCAUAACACUAGGACAAAGACAAAAUAUCUGAAUAUCAACCUAUAAUUUUGUCGCUGCAUCCACAAGGGGAAGCUGUACUCUAUUUCAGAAUUCAGAAAUUUUUGCCGUGUAAGGUAUAUGAUGUACUCAAUAUGGGAUAAUUUUUUAAAUGAUAUCUUUACUUAUAUUCCUUAACUUUUAUAGAAACAAUGGAAUGGUCAGGCAGGUGAAAAUGUUUAUAGAGAAACGUAUUGUUUGCUGGAUUAUUUACACAAGACCGGUUAUUAUAUAUUCUUUUGUCAAGUUGGUGUGGUGUUUCAGCGACAUAGAUCAGUCAGCUGAGAGUAUAUGCGGUACCGUGCACAAUAUAAGACACUGUUAUCAGUAGAACAAUUCAAAUUUUCAGAACUACAAUGUACUUAUAUUGCAAUAUUUGGUGUUUAUGUUACUAUGAUAACAAGCAUCACUGAUAAAAUAAAACCA